CGUGGUGACGUCACGAGGGGUAGUCGCUGAGCCGUUGUUAAAUCGACGGCGACGUCGCCAGCAAAACAGCGUCCAAACCAACUCCGCGCAAACACCUCCACCACUAUAACAACCACCACCACCAACACCACAGCCGCCACCGCUACAACCACGACGACCACAGCCAGCACCAGGAGCUGAGAGAAGGCGAUGUUCGGUCUCAGAGAUCUGGACGACGAUCCCUUCAUGGCCGACCCUUUCCGGGCACAUCACGAGCGCGUGCGGCGCGCAAUGCAGGGCUUCCCAGCGCCGAUGCCCCUCGCUCUGCCCGACGCCCGUGCCCCCAUGGGCCUCUUUGCUCCGUUCCCGAGAUUGGGUUUCGGAAUGCAGCUCUCUCCGUUCGGCGCCUUCGGAAACCCGAUGUCGGGUGUCAUGAUGAAUCCGUUCCAGAUGAUGGACAGCAUGAUCAGCAACAUGCACAGCAUGAUGUCGUCUGAUAUGCACGGAAAUUAUUGCACGUUGUGUCCCCAGGAGACAAUCAGCCCCAACCCGAACGGGCACUCCUUCUCGUCCACCACCGUCAUGUCCUACAGCAACAUGGGUGACGGGCCUCCCCGUGUCUACCAGGCGAGCAGCCAGACCCACCAAGUGCCCGGGGGGGUGCGAGAGGUGCGGCGGUCGGUGCGCGACUCUGAGAGCGGCCUCGAGAAGAUGUCCAUCGGCCACCACAUUGGCGAGCGCGCCCACAUCAUUGAGCGCUCGCGCAACCAUCGCACGGGCAACCGCGAGGAGAACCAGGACUUCAUCAACCUGGAGGAGACUGAAGCACCGGCGUUUGACGCAGAGUUCCGCUCCCGCACCUCCCAGUACGCGGGUGGCGGAGGUGGGGACCGUCGCAUUGACUACCGUCGCCGUGCCGACCGCACCCCUGCCAUCAUGCCGGCCGGGGCUAGCAGUGAGGUGCCGGUGAGGAGGUACGACUGGUGAGGGCGGGGGGGGGGCGGUGGUGGCUGGGGUGGCCGGGGUGGGGGCUCACGCUUCCUCCUCCUCCUCAUCCCCGCACCCCCCACCCCCGCUCCCUCCCUCGCCGUCGCCUCGGAGACGGAGCCGCGCACGAUGCUGUAUGGGGUGUAAGUCACGUGUAGGCCUGGUCUCCAGUGAAAGUGUGACCUCUCAGCCCAGCUACGACCUCGCCUCACCUGACCUCCUCCCCCCCACCCUCACCCCACCCGACCCUGUGUGGGACGAUGACGGUCGUUUGUGUUCACGAGCUCCGGAAACAAAAAUGUCAUAACAUGUUACGCCAGCACAACGAAGGGGAAAGAUCCAGCCCCAUAGUGUCCGGGAGAGGGCGGGGGAGGGGUGGGGAGGACUCGAGAGGGCCCCCCCCCACCACACCCCCUCCCUCCUUCUAAAUUCAUACUCAAGUCUAAAAAUAUUGGUACAAUAUUUAACACCAAUUGUGGUUUUCUUCAAAGUUUCUACACACAGAGAGCUAGGGCAGAAUGCACGAUCGGCAAGAGAAGAUCAUAUCGUUGUUACCCUUGUUUAGCGUUUUCACGUUUUCUGAAAGUUUAAUGUUCACCGUGUUAUUCCCCCCUCCUGAGUUUUUGUAUAUCGCCUUCCACCCCACUAUUUAAACAAGUCGCACGGCAGGGGCUGGAGCGAUCUUCGCGGGUGGUACAGCAGCCCUGGGGACAUGUCGACCGUCCGUCCCGUUCUUUUCAUCUUAUUUUUGUUCUUUCUCCCCUCCCUCACUUGACCGUCUCUUUUUACCGUCACCUCUCCUCCUUCCGUUGUUUGUUGUUUUUCGUCCACCGACGCCACGGCUUAGACGGACGGCGGUUUCCACGCGUUGACGACGGGAGACCAGGAGGAGGGGGGGGGGGGCGGUGUGUGUGGGCUGCAUGGGGGGCGGAGUACAUCUUCCCGUGCGGCUCUGGGCCGCCACCUCGUGGUUUCACGUCGCUUUCGCACGGGGGCUGCGGGGGAUAGAUUUGGGUCGUUAACGAAUAAAUAUCGUUCAAGGUCAUAUAGACCUCGGAACACUUUGCCAUGCACUACACCUGCAUUUGCGUCCAGAAGCGAGUUUCUCCGUUAAAGCAAAAUAUGAAGCCGGAUGUGUUGUGAUGCUCACGCAUGCUGUAAGUUCGUAUGAUAGGUAGAGCCUAAUUGUCCACUGUUGGAUGAGGAUCACCCUUUGUGGUGCUGCUCAUGAGGGCUAUUUGACCAUACUGCCCCACGCUGGUUAUCCCGGACUGGUGAUAGGACGGUAUAGCACACACAACAGUGGCUGCAUUGCCAUCUGCUGCCCCAAUGCCUAUAACACCUGUUGUUAUUUGCAUGGCGGUCACCCAUCCACGCACUGUCGAGAUUCAACGCUGCUUAGCUUGUGAUUUGAUCCGUAGGUUAGGAGCUGCAAUUGCAGUGGGGGAUGAUGCAUUAAGGAGGGACGAGCUCAUUACUCCAAUCCGAUCAGCAAAAUUAGUCGUGCAGGAAUGCGAGGAAUUGUACCUUGUGACUGCUAACAGCCACGACUCUAGAUUGCAAAUGGGUCAGGGAUUCGGCACAUCACGCCUGGCUGCUGCCUUUAGGUGUGGCUCUGGUUCCUUGGUGAUUGUGUAAUGCAAUUUCCCUGAACGAAGAUGCUAUAUGAAACACAUUAUUAUGUGUUCUAGAAUAAAUAAAAGUUUUCAACUGCUAGAAAUGAGCCCUGUGACGAUUCACCAAAUUGUAAUUUAAAAUCUCUUCUUCCAAUUGCAACGCUCACACCAAUGUGUGCAUGUGAGGAUACAUGAUUUUCGAUUCGUGCAUACGUCAUAGGAUUUUUUUCCUUUAAUUGCAAUGGUUACGGUUCAAAACGAGAUGGUACAAAACGCAAAUGAGAAUAAUAUCGCGUAUCGAAUCGUGACCUUCAAUCUUAACUGGAACAUCAAAUUGAAGGGCAGCGGGGAGGUGGGUUGGUUGAAUUGGCACUUGCCUAUAAAUAACACAUUUUCAUUGCAGGUGGCAAACGCGCUUCUGUACACAAAUGCAGCUGACAUGGCCAGCUUAGUGUUCUGCGGUCUUCAUAAGGGUUGGGGAACACCCUUAACAGAGUUCUCUCUUAAAGGCCACGAUCCCACUAGGGCAGUCGUCGUCGGCAACAUAUGGCUGCAGUCGUUUCCUCUUGUAAAAAUGUAGUUGCCCAAUAUGUGAACUUAACCUGGUCGCAGGUCCUAUUAGUUGGCAAAUCGAGAUGGCAACUUCCAAAAAGGUGAUAAGACGAGAGGUCACGUGACUUGCCUGAAGUCAAGCUCAAGUCUUCGUUUGAGAGAUGGUGGCUUCACGUUGGUGCAUGACUGGGUUCUGGAUAGAUGAAAGAGAGAGCCUUGUGAUUGAUUACACUGGUCAACACACUUUUUCUGGCAUAAGGUAUUCCAACGGUUUUAAUGUAAUUUUGGGGUGCUGAUUCCAAAUCUGGCAUCAGUUUUUGUCUAUCACAUCAGGUUUUUGAGAUAUCAAAUAUUGCAUUUUCAAUAAAAACUGCAGAAGAAAAAUAUUAAAUAAAUGUGGAUAUCUACAUAAAAUGAUAUUAUAAACACACUAUCCUAAAAAUACAGCACCAUAUUUUAACACUAAAGCAGUCACUGACUCGCAACAACUUGCACUCAUAAGUGACAGUUAAUUUCGGGUAAAAUCAAUGAAAAUGGGGUAUGCCGAUAGCAUAAAAAUGAGAUGUGAUGGAGCAAAUCUGAGAUCAGAUUUGGAAUCAACACCCUGAAAUUAGUCUAAAACAGCUGCAAAAGUCCAGGCCAGAAAAAAAUGUUUUUUUUUGUUGACCAGUGUUAUCCUUUUCAUCAAAGCGUAUUAACACAAGCGUCUUGGAAUAAGGUGCGAUAUAAAUCUACGUAAGAUAAGAUGUAUGUAUCGACCAAGUGACUGAUAAGAAUGGAUCGCAUCAAGAAUUGUCGCUUCAAUUGCCAUAGUUGCUCAUUCUUCAAGAGUUGCUGGUGACGGUUGCCGGCGUAGAUUUAUUCAAAACUGCCCCCGUGGAUCAUGGCCUUAUUGGUCUCUGUUAAUUCUUGCCAGAGAUUCCUGUUUUAAAUUCUGUCCCCGUGAGGCCCUGUCGGUGGUUAAGUGGCAUUGGGAAUGGCUUUACAGUUUUGUUUUUGUGAAGCCAUUCUUCUUGGGGUUACAAGGCAUAGCGCAGCCGUCGCUUAUUUAACUUGUUAUGGAAACUAACAUAGUAAUAUCCUCCCUUAAGCAACUACGAUUUCCCAGGUCUCCUUUUUGAAACGCAGAUGGCUUGCACCUGGUUUAAUAAAGGACGAUGAAUCGAAUCGGACUUGUCACUGUCCCUCUGCUGCAGUCUGUACCAAUCACACACUAAUGUUUGGUGUACUGAAUUUACAAAAACAAUAACUUGCCAUCAAAGCACAUUGUUGUACAGCGUCUAAUAACGAGGCUCUGUGAAAACUCUGUAUAAUGAAGUACUGAGCAGUCAGUACAGUAAUUCAAAAUGUCAAAGUUACUGGAGAAAUGUUUGACCUAGGAAUCGAAAAUACAUUUUAUGCAGGGCACUUCUCUGGAAUGAAAUGUUUUUUGUUGAUGAAUUCUUCCGAGCCAUUGUAUAUUAAUCUCAUUUGCUAAAACGGGGUUAAUAAAAAUGUAACAACCCAUAAAACUCGGUCUAGAAAGUAAUAUUUUGUUGAGAGAAUACUCUGCAUUUACUCAAACGACUAAUUGAGGUGUACCCUGAAGCGACCUGGGUAACCCACAAAAACUCAUGGUCCAUUUGAUAGAGGUUUGUAGAGAGUAUGGAGGUGAUGCAACAAGAAUUUCCAAAAUUGGGUUUUCAUUUAAUCAAGCUAUUAUUGUAUUGGGUUGUAUCUGCUGUACCUCCUUGAUUGUGUAACCAGUUUUCACAGAGCCUCCGGCAUUUGUUGAGCAGAUGGUGCUGAAUAGUAAUUCAUUGUAAUGGUACAAGAGCCAUCCAUGAAAACACGGGGUGCAAAAACAACAAGGAAGGGGCCCGGUCAUGAGAUGCCAUACGUAAUACAGGGUUUUCAGUUUAGAUAUUCACGGUGGAGUUUGUUGGCUGGCAGUGUGUUCAGGUGGGGAGCCGGUUAGUUCCAGGCUGCAGAGGAGCAGGAGUGACCUGCUGCUUUAUGUGGGUGCACCGUGCCACCGACCCAUGCUGUGUUGAUGGGGAACGGAGCCCCCCAACCCCACCCCAUCUUGUCGGGGUUUUGGAAUGAGCAGUAGGGUCGUGAGUAAUCUGUUAACUGGGUGAAAAUGUGACCCUGGUGGCCAAUGCUGUGCUUGCCUCAAGAAAACUCUUCACAGCUGCUGCCUCUGCUGUGUUCUUGUUUAAGAGUUUGUAACCGUGCACACGUGACCUGCACCCGGAAGUCUCCCGUGUGUUGGUGAGACGUGUCGAUUUCGCAGAUUUAUCAAUUCAAAUGGAUGUGCUAAUUUAAAAAUCAAACAGCAUAUGUCAAUUUUGAAGUCCGUAAAACAAAUAUUUGCUCGGUUCUAUGAAAGUGUCCAAUUGAAGUUUAAUGUCUACUUUAAGAGAUACAUUCCUUUAUAAAAUGUUCAAAUAUGCAUGACAUUUUGCAGUGGGAGAGGAGAGUGGAAGUUGUAUCGAGUCCUGGUCGAUGUGUUCACCCUCUAAGUGUAAAACAAGGGAUUGAGCUCACAUUUUGUAUAUUAAAGAAAAACUGUUCCCUUAGUAAUCUGUAGUUAACACCAUCUGUAUGUAAUUAAAAUAUGUAGCCAAAAGGAUAUGUAAUUCAUCCAUCAGCCUAUGCACCUUCUGAACCUUAAAAAUUAAAGAACAAAAACGAGGUUAUUAAAAGCAAUUGGUCAAGAUAUUGACGAUGUUUUGGGCAAAUCCGCUUUCGCAACAUCAUUUGUUCCAAGGUAAAUUUACAUCGAUUUUGACUUCGUUGAGGUUCAUUGGAAAUGUGUGACCGGUUGCCAAUAGGCCGAUGGAUAACUUUGUUCCCCUUCUGUCCUUUAAACUGACUUCGUCCACGGUGUGGUUUGUGUUCACCCGGGAUAAUGAUCUUCCAUCAGCAACCAUUCGGUCGCGCAAGGUGGCGCUGUGACAGCUUACCAUCGAUCACUUGGCCAGGUAAAAAUAAACUUCGCCCGGGUCCAAUGUUGCCAACUCAGCGAUUUUGUUGCUAGAUCUCGUCGCCCCUCUUUGGGUUGCCCUGUCAACAACGUGCUGUUCAAAGUAGCUAGCAACAACUCCAGCGGCCUUCGCUGCAUCGUAAAUGGUACAGAUUUAGGAACGAUUCAAUUUGUGUUUUAAUGAUUCUGUAUCAAAUUCUGUAUCAGUUUAAUGUUCAGUCUUUUGUAAAUUGACUCGUGACACUUGGCAACUUUACACGGUCUAUGGAGCAACUUCUUUGAUGUUUAUUUGGCGACUUUCCGCUUUGAGGAGUUGGCAAGAUUGGGGCUCGGGUGAUUUAAUCCCGAGUCUCAAGACUUCAGGAGCGUCCUGCCCUGGGGUUCUUGACAAAUUUGUUUUAUUAAAACUGGCACUUACAAAAGCAAAGUUCAGAUUUAAAUUCAUUGUACAUUUAGUCGAUAGUUUGAUACUUUGUUUAAUACAGGGCCUAUAUAACAACAACAGGAUAACCCCCCCCCCUCCCUCCCAAUUAACCUUUUGAAAAUGUAAACCUGUCUGUGAAGUUGUAGAUUAUAGACGUUAUAGACCAUAGAAUGUUGAAUAAUCUUCUUUCGUUUUCGGAUUUAACUUUGUUCACGAGUCAUUUUGAAUUGUAGUGUCCAUGCGUAGUAGAGUGACAUACUGUAUGUAAUGUUUGACAAGGCGCAUUAAGGGUAAUAUUAAGAGGUGAGAAUGUUGUAGUCAGUGGUGGGGAACCUUUUACAAAGGGCCGAAUACCUUUUAGUGGGCAACAUACAUUAGUUCACACUAAACCUUGAUGGACUAAACAUAUUUGCUACGAAGAACAUCAAUUGCCCAAAACAUCACCUAUGAUGUAUAUGUUUAAUUCGAAGGCAGCGUUAUUGACCAAUUGUUAGUUUUUCUUGUUAAUUGUGCUUUUCCAUCACUGCCAACGCAGCAGAAAGAUCACCGACAUUUUUUUAAAUUAGGCUACGGCUGGAUUGGCCUUGUUCUUACAGCUACUUUAAAGACGGCCAGUGUUUCUGAGCGUCCUAAAAUCGGAAGCUCGGUUCAGUCAGGUUGGAACAUUCCCUCCCAGUGCCCAAUGAGUGCAGCUGAGAAGCUGAUGGAAUAUCGUUUUUGCGGGCUGUUUUGAAGUUGGUAGCCCUGGUGUAAGCUACGCGUUUUAGGAAGUGAAGCCACGGGUCGUAUCUGGCCCCGCUGGGCCCAUGGGUUCCCCACUCCUGCCAGAAGUCAUUUGCUGUAUGUUGCGCGGAAAUGUUAACAAUAAAACCAAACGUUGAUUACGAUAUGAAACAAGCCACUUGUCACUGGUAUAAUAAACUGUCGGCAGCAACCUGAGCCACCCGUCACGAAUGAGCACAGGGGGUGGGCUGGCAAUCAGCUCCCUUGAGUCGUUGAUGGAAUUUCCACAUUCCCUGUGGCCGGGAGUCGGUUUAUCCACAGGACAGCUGUUGUUAAUAUUCGUGUAUAAAUGCUAAUAUUGUAGUGUCAAAUAUAUAGUACUGACUGUCUAGUUAUAACGUACCACGAACUCUUUUCGGGUUUUGCAUAAAAAAAGAGAGUGAUUAGCAAAUUUGAUACGAAAUAAAUGAAACCUAAACGACAGUUAGGGCGUUUGUUGGCGUUGUAUAAUUUUUAUUCCAAUACAAGCUUGCGUGGACUCUC